rnacentral:rRNA from 1 species
GAGUUUGAUCCUGGCUCAGAGCGAACGCUGGCGGCGCGCCUAACACAUGCAAGUCGAACGCGAACGGGUUUCUUCGGAAGCCCAAGUAGAGUGGCGGACGGGUGAGUAUAACGUGGGUAACACGCCUCUGAAUGUGGAAUAACUUCUCGAAAGGGGAGCUAAUACCGCAUAAUAUUUUUGGUUCAUAAGUAUCGAAGAUCAAAGGUGGCCUCUUCAUGAAAGCUAUCGUUCAGAGAGUGGCCCGCGCCCCAUUAGCUAGUUGGUGAGGUAACGGCUCACCAAGGCCGCGAUGGGUAGCCGACCUGAGAGGGUGAUCGGCCACACUGGGACUGAGACACGGCCCAGACUCCUACGGGAGGCAGCAGUGAGGAAUUUUCCGCAAUGGACGCAAGUCUGACGGAGCGACGCCGCGUGCGUGAUGAAGGCCUUCGGGUCGUAAAGCGCUGUCGGAAGGGGNGAACACCCAGUCGGUUAAUACCCGUCUGGANGGGACGGACCUUCCAAGGAG